UGCAAGUCGACGGUAACAGCACUUCGGUGGCUGACGAGUGGCGAACGGGUGAGUAAUACAUCGGAACGUGCCCGAGAGUGGGGGAUAACGCAGCGAAAGCUGUGCUAAUACCGCAUACGAUCUACGGAUGAAAGCAGGGGACCGCAAGGCCUUGCGCUCAUGGAGCGGCCGAUGGCAGAUUAGGUAGUUGGUGGGAUAAAAGCUUACCAAGCCGACGAUCUGUAGCUGGUCUGAGAGGACGACCAGCCACACUGGGACUGAGACACGGCCCAGACUCCUACGGGAGGCAGCAGUGGGGAAUUUUGGACAAUGGGCGAAAGCCUGAUCCAGCCAUGCCGCGUGCAGGAUGAAGGCCUUCGGGUUGUAAACUGCUUUUGUACGGAACGAAAAGGUCUUUUCUAAUAAAGAAGGCUCAUGACGGUACCGUAAGAAUAAGCACCGGCUAACUACGUGCCAGCAGCCGCGGUAAUACGUAGGGUGCAAGCGUUAAUCGGAAUUACUGGGCGUAAAGCGUGCGCAGGCGGUUAUAUAAGACAGAUGUGAAAUCCCCGGGCUCACCUGGGAACUGCAUUAGUGACUGUAUAGCUAGAGUGCGGCAGAGGGGGAUGGAAUUCCGCGUG
rnacentral:rRNA from 1 species